GGGGCUGAGCUGUGCAUCUGUGGGGCUGAGCUGAGCCUAUGGGGCUGAACUGUGCAUCUGUGGGACUGAGCUGUGAGCUUAUGGGGCUGAGCUGAGCCUCUGUGGGGAUGAGCGGAGCCUAUGGGGCUGAGCUGUGAGCCUAUGGGGCUGAACUGUGCAUCUCUGGGGCUGAGCUGUGCAUCUAUGGGGCUGAGCUGAGCCUAUGGGGCUGAACUGUGAGCCUGUAGGGCUGAACUGUGCAUCUAUGGGGCUAAGCUGAGCCUAUGGGGCUGAACUGUGCAUCUAUGGAGCUGAGCUGUGAGCCUAUAGGGCUGAGCUGUGCGUCUGCGGGGCUGAGCUGUGAGCCUAUGGGGCUGAGCUGAGCCUACAGGGCUGAACUGUGCAUCUAUGGGGCUAAGCUGAGCCUAUGGGGCUGAGCUGUGAGCCUAUGGGGCUGAACUGUGCAUCUAUGGGGCUGAGCUGAACCUACGGGGCUGAACUGUGCAUCUGUGGGGCUGAACUGUGAGCCUAUGGGGCUGAGCUGAGCCUAUGGGGCUCAGCUGUGAGCCUAUAGGGAUGAACUGUGCAUCUCUGGGGUUGAACUGUGCAUCUAUUGGGCUGAGCUGAGCCUAUGGGGCUGAACUGUGAGCCUGUAGGGCUGAACUGUGCAUCUAUGGAGCUGAGCUGCGAGCCUAUAGGGCUGAGCUGUGCAUCUGUGGGGCUGAGCUGUGCGUCUGUGGGGCUGAGCUGUGAGCCUAUGUGAUUGAAUCUAUGGGGUCUAUGAGCUGUGCUGUGAGCCCAUGGGGCCAUGAACAGUCUAUGGGGCUGUGCUGGGCUGCGAGAUUAUGGGGCUGUGCACUGUGAGUCUAUGGGGCUGUGCUGCACGCUUAUGGGGCCGAAUGCUGUGAGCCUGUGGGGCUGCGCUGUGAGCCCAUAGGGCUGUGCGCUGUGAGUCUAUGGGGCUGUGCUGUGAGUCUAUAGGGCCACGCACUAUGAACUUUUGGGGCUGUGCUGUGAGCCCGUAGGGCCGUGCACUGUGAGUUUAUAGGGCUGUGCACUGUGAGUCUAUAGGGCUGUGCUGUGAGCCUGUGGGGCCAUGUGCUGCGAAUCUAUAGGGCUAUAGAGUGAGCCUAUGGGGUGUGCUCUGAGCCCAUGGGGCCGUGCACUGUAAGUCUAUAGGGCCGUGCACUGUGAGCCUAUAGGGCCAUGCACUGUGAGUCUAUAGGGCUGUGCUGUGAGCCUGUGGGGCCAUGUGCUAUGAACCUAUAGGGCUAUAGAGUGAGCCUAUGGGGUGUGCUCUGAGCCCAUGGGGCCGUGCACUGUGAGCCUAUAGGGCUAUGGGGCAAUGCUGUGAGCGAGGUGUGGGGCAGAAUAGGACUGCGGGAUCCCUGGAAGGAUUUUGCUGCCACGUGGCCUCCGUGCUGCCCUGGAUCCUCAGCUGCCGGCAGCUGCCAGCCCGGACCUAUUGGCCACCACAGCUGCCGUUCCCAAACCCCGUUUGACUUUCUGGCCCCAUAGAGCCGUCCCUGGGAAUACUCACAACAGCGCCGGGGGGGCCGGGAGCGCCUCUCUCUCCGGGUUUGCCGGGCUCACCCUGCGAGGAAGAGAGUGGGGUGAGGUGUGCGUCAAAACCACAGCGCCCCCAUACAUGGAUGGACCCCCCCAUACACAUAUAGGGACACCGCCCCUGAGCCCCCCCCACACACACACCGUGGGGCUCUGUGAGCCUGUGUGGGGCCACGUGCUGCCAACCUAUAGGGCUCCGCGAGAGCCUCGCGCCACACAUCUGACAUGAAGCCCCCCACGCAGCCCCCCCCUAUAGGAGGGGGGGGGGAGCAAAGGGGCCGUCGGUGAACCGCGUGGUUAUGGGGGGGGGGGGAGGAGGGGGGGUUAAGUAACCGCGGGGUUACGUACCGGGGGUCCGGUUUUGCCGUCGGGACCGGGGCUGCCGGGGCUUCCAGUCAGACCCUUGGCACCGGGGAGGCCGGGUUCACCGGGACGGCCGGCUUCACCGGGAGAUCCUUUGGGGCCGACGGCGCCGGGGGAACCGCGCUCUCCGGGGGGGCCCUUGGGACCGGCGAUGCCGUCGGCACCGGGGAAACCGCGGCUGCCGGGGGCGCCCCGUUCGCCCGCAGGACCGGGCAGCCCAGCAGGGCCGGGCUCUCCACGCGCUCCUCUCUUGCCUUCCUCGCCGGCGGGGCCGGGGGGGCCUUGAACGCCAGCGGGACCGGGUUCGCCUUUGGCACCGGUGUCACCUUUGUUGCCCGGAGCACCGGGUUCACCGCUGUUCCCUUUGGGUCCGGGGGCACCGCUGGGACCUUGGGGUCCGGAGGGACCGCGAGCACCAGGGAAGCCGGGGGCACCGGCGAUGCCGGGAGCGCCCGUAGCACCUUUGGCACCGGGCUGACCGUCGGCACCGGGGUUACCGGCGGGACCGGCAGCGCCAGCUGGGCCGGGGGGACCGGGUUCGCCACGGGCACCUUGGGGACCUUCGCUACCGCGGGCACCUUGGGGACCCGUUUCGCCCUUAGCGCCAGCGGCGCCGGGGAAGCCGGGGGGACCCGCGGGACCGGUCGGGCCGGGAGGACCGGCAGCACCGGGAGCACCGUCGUUACCGCGAGCGCCAGCGGGACCGGAUGGACCGGGGCGGCCUCUCUCGCCGGGAAGACCGCGGGGACCCAUCUGUCCGGGAGCGCCGUUCUCUCCAGGGCUGCCAGGCUCACCCUACGACGACAAAUAAUCAUAACAACAAGAUGCAAAAAAUGGCUUUUCUGCCCCAAAAAGGGAGCAGAAGGACCCCGCAGUGGGGGUUUGGGGGGGGGCCGCCCCUGCAGCACUGCUCACCUUGGGACCAGCAGGGCCGGGCUCACCCUUGGCACCAUCCAAACCACUGAAGCCCUGGGGGGCAGAGGAGGGGGGUCAGCAGCCGUAGGCCGGGUGUUGGGGUACCGUGGGGGUGUCCCCGACUUGGGGGCGCUCCCAGCUCACCCCACAUCUCGUGGGUGCAUUGGGGGGGGGAUGUGGCACUCACUCUGUGUCCCUUCAUGCCCGGCAGACCGGCAGUUCCGGGGAGCCCACGUGCGCCCUACAAGGAAAGGCCUUGUGGUGACACAGAGCCACGAGGGGGGGUCGGGGGGUCCCACACCCCAUCCUCUGUGUGCUGUGCAUGCGGUGGGUCCCCCCGCCGUGGGGAAAGCCUCACCUGGGGGCCGGGGGGGCCGCGUUCGCCAGGACGGCCGGGUUUGCCAGCUUCACCCUAUGGAGAAGGACCCGGUUGGUGGCACAGCCCCACAGCAUUGAGCCCCCGGGGGGGGGCAGUGCCAACAGGCAGGGAGGGGGGGGUCCGACCCUCUGCCACUUACAUCAUCGCCGUUCUUGCCAGGGGGGCCAGCGGGGCCGCGGGGGCCCAUGGGUCCCUACGAGAUAGGAAAGGGCUGUGGGGGGCUGUGGGGGUGCGGAGCUCCUCGCUGCCCCACUGCCCCCUCCCAGCACUGCUGGGGUUGGGGGUACCGCUGCAGUCCCGGCACUUACGGAGGCUCCGGGCUCGCCGGGUUCACCAGGGGGGCCUUGGAAACCUUGAGGGCCAGGAGCACCAGGAGGGCCGGGGAGACCACGGGGUCCUGCAGGGCCCAUGGGGCCGGGCACCGCCACGCCGGCCGAUUUCUCGUCGUAGCCGUAAGACAUUUGAGGAGCGAAGUUUCCGCCGAGGCCUGGAGGUCCUGGAGGGCCUGGGGGUCCCGGGAGGCCAGGCUGUCCAGGGAUGCCAUCUCUGCCGGGGGGGCCGGGGAGUCCCCUGUCUCCUCUGGGGCCGGUGUCUCCUUUAGGACCCUCUACUCCAGCACUCUCCGGGUAGACUGGGGAGGCGUCGACAUCGGGGCAGAUGGGGCAGCACUCUCCGAAGGGGAUUUCGGCGUUGGGGCAGUCGGAGGUGUCCUCGCAGAUCACCUCGUCGCAGAGGAUGUUGCCGCUGUCGCAGACGCAGAUCUGGCACGGUUCGGGUUUCCACACAUCCUUAUCGUUGUACGUCAGCCCGUCCUGGACGCAGCUCCCGGUCUGGACUGUAGGGGUACCGGGGGGGGUCAGUGGGGAACGGCUGCGCUCCCCCCCCCUCCCCACACACACACACACAGCCCCGCAGCGCAGCGCUCCCGUUCGGCAGCGCCGCUCUCCCUUCAUCUGGUUCUCAUCAGCCCGGCUCUGUGACACGGGAAAAGCACCGCCGCCAUCGGCUCUUCCCACUUAGUCUGGAAUUUAAACAAAACCCCCGUCCGGCAGCCGCGUCCCGAAGCCGGGGGCCAAGGAAAAUAGCGGGGGGGGGUACGGGGCGGUGCCGGGAUCGGGGGAUCCCCCCCUCGUCUGGGCUGAAAUUAGAGCCGGGAUGGGGCGGGAUGGGGCCAGAUGUGGGAGCUGCCGAGUGUGGGGCGGCUGCCAGGGAGUGGGGCGGCCCCAUAGUGGAGCCGUGGGGCCGGGAGGGGGGGGUGGGGGGGUGUGUGUGGGGGGGGGGGUUGUGGGGCCGCAGUGCCGCGCGAUGGCAAAGGGGGGAGAAGGGGAGAAGGUCUGAACCGAAAUGGAGAGAAGCAAAAGGCCGAAAUUCACUGCAAUGCAAUGCAAUGCAAUGCAAUGAAAUGCAACAGAAUGCAAUGAAAUGCAAUGAAAUGCAAUGAAAUGAAAGCAGGAUGUCGCAUUGUGUUGUGUUGUGUC
rnacentral:lncRNA from 1 species